CGCCGGAAGCCCGGCCAGAAUCAAAGCGGACGCGAAGCAUCCACCCAGCUGGAAGAGCCGCCGCCGCCGGGGAAGCAGGAAUCUCCCAGAUACCCAGUGUGGGGGCGCUCCCGAGCCCUCGGGGUCCCCCGGCGGCCUCCUGGAGCCUGGAGCUCAGGCGGAGAGAUGCAGGGACGGCGGGAGGCCGGAGGCAGCCGUGGUCAGGGAAGCGAGGGGACCAGAAGGACCACCGGAGGUGUCCGGGCGGAAGGGCCGCGGGGCUGGGGUCGCCCCGGUCCCCGCCGCACCCUGGGGACCCCGGCCCGCUUGGUUUGGGCCUCAAAGAGCACCAAAGUUGUCUGGCCAUCUGGUCGACCUUUCGGCGGUGCUUGCCUGACUACAACCAAACAUGAACACAAAUCUGGAUCGCAGGGCAGAGAAGGCAGAGCACCACCACUCCGCACUCGUUUCUCUUACCUAAGUGUUCUCCCGUCCGCGCGCGUUCAGACGCCCUUCCAGGACUACACACCGCGCCAGGCUCGCGUCUCCUUGGUACCCUCAGUGGAGGGCCCGGGCCGUUUUCUGGAUCUCAAACAUUUGGCGCCUCUGACCACCGAUCCCGUGCAGGACUAAAGCCGCGCAUUGGGCCACCUCCUUGCUCGCCCACCGCGUUCCCUGUUGUCACCCGUGGCGAGGGACUCGUGUGUGGCUCACACAACUUUCGAGCCCGUAAGGGGAACAGAAGAGACUACAGGCGGCCCCCGCGAUGACGCAGCACGGCUUCCGACGAACGCAGAGCUUGAUACGACAGCGGCCGUCGGAGAGCAGCUCCCCCGCCGCCCAGCCCUGGUGCGGACCUGGGCCCCCAGGCGAUCAGGACGUGGGGUUGGGAGAGCCUAGCCUGGGGAUCGCGGUGCCGCUGGGAGGGCCGGGCGCGCAGCCCAGCGCCGCCUUGUUCCGCGUGUCCGGCCACGCUCCACUCCGGGGAAGACGCCCGGGAUCCAGGGACGGCCGGCGUGAACCCUGCGCCGUCCGCCGACGGAGACACGGCUACUCCCAGCCGAGGCGGGAAAACAAAAAAUACUGAUCCAGGACACCGCGCGGGGCACUUUACUCUCCUGGCUGCGAGCCGUACCCCAUGCAGCCCCGCGGGCGGAGGAAACGUCCGGAUCGCCGACUAGCUUCUAAAGACACGGCCCGUGCUCGCCACGCAAGCCUGACCGUUCGAGGGAGCAGGACGCGUCCAGGCCCGGAGACGGGGCCCAGGCGCGCCAGCCAACGAGCCCUGCGAGCCCAUACUCGUCCGGUCUGGCCAAGCACCAGAGCCUGGAGAGUGGGGACCCCGGAGGGAGACGAAGGCCCCUAACGGUGACCCAGGAGUUUGGCCGACGAGCCACAGGCACUCCGGCGCCGCAGACCCUUUCUCUGCUCGCUCCGAGGCCCCGCGGAUGUAAGGCCGCGAGGAGAUGCUGGUCGACCAGAGCGAGCGACAACCCGCCCUCAAAGGCCACAGCGCCAGGCCGCUUCACGAAAACCUGCAGACCCAGUCUUCAGCAGGAGCAGGCAUGCCCAGGUCUCCGCAGCACCAUGGUUAUUGCCACCAGUGCUGCCGGCCUCUGGAGCUCUGCGCCGUCUUCUCCGGCUGAGUCUCAGCCCUUAUGAAGGUCGCCGAAGGAAAGGAACGCUCUGAAAGCGGCCGCCAGGGGCGCCCGACAACCGGUUCGAGUGUCCUCAGGACGAGUUGCCGGCAGGCCGCAGCGGCGCCGAACGCCCUAACGCCCGAGCUCGCCCGGGGCCUCUGCCUCGGAGGGGGCUCCCCGCUCGGGACAGCGCGACGCGGCUUCGCGGAGCGGCCCAGGCGGCAGACGAGGGCGGGCGGAGAGCGGAAGGCUGCGGCGGAGAGGCCCUCCCCGCGAGACUGCAGGGCCGCAGGCCAACCUGAGCAAGGGAGAUUCUGCAGGGGGCUGGGCUGUGUGAACUGUGAGCUGGAACAGUGAAAGUAAAACAGAAAGCAAGCAAGCACGGAAGACAUCUUAUUCUGUCAUUUCAGAGUUGAGAUGUUACUCAAGUAUAAAAAUACAAGGCUCAGAAGCCAUAAAGGAAACGACUGAAAACUUGACUAUGUAAUUGGUCUUUUAGUCUUUACCAAGCAAAGGCAGGUGACAAGAAACGGGUGUGUGAGAACGUUUGUGCGACUACAUAUAUAUUAAGAACGUUGGUAUCAGCAUUACAUAAUAACAGAAUGUAGAAAACACGGCAAGGGACCAGUUAAGUAAAUUUUCAGUGCAUUCACAUAACACAAGACUAUCACUUUGCUUUUUGGUUUAUUGCUGUUGUUUAAAUGAGUUAGAUCCAUAGGUAUUGACUUGGAAAAAUGUCGAUGGCAAACUGUCAAAUGAAAACAAAGUUUUAGCACUUACUACUGGAAGUGCUUUUUAAAAAAUGAAGCGGAAAAAUGAAGAGUUAGAAUAGCUAAAGCGGUUUUAAAGAGCAAGAAUCAAGUCUGCCCUAUAGCCUGGUGUCUGGACAGAAAGACGUGCCAGAAACAAAGAUGGGCCACACUACGUGCUUCUCUGCUCCCUCCUACUAUAGUCUUGGGAAGGCAGCUGGCAUCUCAGCCCCUGCACCUCUCUGCUCCACUAACACUCAGAGCCCCUGCAGGCAAUCAGAACUCUGACUCUGCAGGCCUGGGGUCCCUAUGUCUACAGUCUCUUCCUUCAUGUCAGGAGCCUCGAGCAAUUCACUUGGUUUGCCCAAUCAUCCAUGCCCAGAGCUGCUGGCUCUAACAUACACCUGUGCAGUCCUUCUCUCCAUAAGCUUUGAGCUGAUAUCCCAAGGUAAGACCAUUCCCCUCACAAAACAGGUAUGAACCACGGGAACAACUGGAAGUUUGCACCUGGACCCAUUAUACAAACUCUGUGUGCACACUCUACUCCCAAAGACACUACCCUUUUCACUGUGCUGUUUGCAUGGUAUGGCCAUUGCUUACUAGAAGCAUCCAGACUCACUUAUGUGGCAGGAAGAAAUACUAAGUACACACACACGCAUGCACACACACCCAUGUACAAACACAGAGGCACACACACACCCCAGGAGCUUAUCUGGACUCCUGCUAGGGCUGGCAAUGGUGGGAGCAGAAAAGACAUCAUUGUUGCUGCUUCUCGGGUCCUCUGCGCUGGCAGACCCUGGUUGCUUUGCUGACUUCACUGUGGAGAGUGAGGGCUUGGAGCGCCCUAGUCUGCAGUUUGCUGUCCAGCGCCCUGUGCUUUAUUCAGUCCACUCUACCCUCUCUCCUCAAUGCACAGUCACCAUUAAAAAUAAGAAUGGACACACAUUGAUUUCAAUUUUCAAACUUGAACAAAGUUUAAGAACAGAGAGAAAUUGGGUUAUUGUGAAGAAGGUAGUGAGGAAAUUUUAUUUAUCUUUUUUGCAGCUACCAAAAUGUUCAAAUAUAGUCUAUAAAAGCUUAAUAUUUUUUAAAACUAGGAAAAGUAAAUAAUCCCUCAUUACUCCUUCUUGCCCAUCACCAUCUCUGCCCCAGCUUGUGUCACAGUGGGCUCACCUGACGACAUGCCUGUUCUCCUGGUUUGGAGACUUCUUUCACACUCAUCACUAUCCUCUAUGCUCACUACACACCUGAGGCCACUGUAGCCAUCCACAUGGUAAAUCAGGGGAUUUUUCUCUAGUGAGCCUGAGGGUUUGUUUUUUUUUCUUCUAAUAGAAACCUCUCCCAUCUGUCCUCU
ensembl:lncRNA